rnacentral:rRNA from 1 species
GAAUGAGACACGGUCCAGAUCUAGGCAGCAGUGGGGAAUGCCAAUGGGCGCAAGCCUGAGCAGCCAUGCCGCGUGUAUGAAGAAGGCCUUCGGGUUGUAAAGUACUUCAGCGGGGAGGAAGGUGUUGAGGUUAAUAACCUCAGCAAUUGACGUUACCCGCAGAAGAAGCACCGGCUAACUCCGUGCCAGCAGCCGCGGUAAUACGGAGGGUGCAAGGUUAAUCGGAAUUACUGGGCGUAAAGCGCACGCAGGCGGUCUGUCAAGUCGGAUGUGAAAUCCCCGGGUCAACCUGGGAAUCCAGGCUAGAGUCUUGUAGAGGGGGGUAGAA